UACGUAGGGGGCAAGCGUUGUCCGGAUUUAUUGGGCGUAAAGAGCGUGUAGGCGGCCAGGUAGGUCUGCUGUGAAAACUCGAGGCUUAACCUCGAGCUGUCGGCGGAAACCAUCUGGCUAGAGUCCGGAAGAGGAGAAUGGAAUUCCCGGUGUAGCGGUGAAAUGCGUUGAUAUCGGAAGGAACGCCGGUGGCGAAAGCGACGGACUGGAUCUCUUCUGACGCUGAGGCGCGAAAGCCAGGGGAGCAAACGGG
rnacentral:rRNA from 1 species